GGCUGAGUAACACGUAAGUGACCUACCCUCGAGUGGGGAAUAACUGCUCGAAAGAGUGGCUAAUACCGCAUAUGCUCGCUGGUUCGAUCUGGUGAGUAAAGCAGCGAUGCGCUUGAGGAUGGGCUUGCGGCCGAUUAGCUAGUUGGUGGGGUAAAGGCCUACCAAGGCGAUGAUCGGUAGCUGGUCUGAGAGGAUGAUCAGCCAGACUGGGACUGCGACACGGCCCAGACUCCUACGGGAGGCAGCAGUUAGGAAUUUUGCGCAAUGGACGAAAGUCUGACGCAGCAACGCCGCGUGGAGGACGAAGGCCUUCGGGUCGUAAACUCCUUUUGCCGGGGAAGAUAGUGACGGUACCCGGCGAAUAAGCCCCGGCUAACUACGUGCCAGCAGCCGCGGUAAUACGUAGGGGGCGAGCGUUGUCCGGAUUUACUGGGCGUAAAGAGCGCGUA
rnacentral:rRNA from 1 species